rnacentral:rRNA from 1 species
GCGGAAUGCUUUACACAUGCAAGUCGAGCGGCAGCACGGGGGGCAACCCUGGUGGCGAGCGGCGAACGGGUGAGUAAUGCGUAGGAAGCUGCCCGAUAGAGGGGGAUACCAGUUGGAAACGACUGUUAAUACCGCAUAAUGUCUACGGACCAAAGUGUGGGACCUUCGGGCCACAUGCUAUCGGAUGCGCCUACGUGGGAUUAGCUAGUUGGUGAGGUAAUGGCUCACCAAGGCGACGAUCUCUAGCUGGUUUGAGAGGAUGAUCAGCCACACUGGAACGGAGACACGGUCCAGACUCCUACGGGAGGCAGCAGUGGGGAAUAUUGGACAAUGGGCGCAAGCCUGAUCCAGCCAUGCCGCGUGUGUGAAGAAGGCCUUCGGGUUGUAAAGCACUUUCAGCGAGGAGGAAGGGGUGUGUGUUAAUAGUACACACCUUUGACGUUACUCGCAGAAGAAGCACCGGCUAACUCUGUGCCAGCCGCCGCGGUAACAC